rnacentral:rRNA from 1 species
GCGCAUGCAGGUGGUUUGUUAAGUCAGAUGUGAAAGCCCGGGGCUCAACCUCGGAAUUGCAUUUGAAAACUGGCAAACUAGAGUACUGUAGAGGGGGUAGAAUUUCAGGUGUAGCGGUGAAAUGCGUAGAGAUCUGAAGGAAUACCGGUGGCGAAGGCGGCCCCCUGGACAGAUACUGACACUCAGAUGCGAAAGCGUGGGGAGCAAACAGGAUUAGAUACCCUGGUAG